UAAACUUACUUGUGUAAAUUGGAAACUCUGACUCUGUUCUUCAGUGUGCUAUGAGAAUUGUGAUAUUCAAAUAUCUCUCUGAAAUUAUAUUUUGAUGAAAAAUUUAAGAUCGUCCUAAUUUGAAGGCUGUGAAGACCCAGGAGUUCCCACGAAAGAGAAAAAGGUGCACUGACAAUUGCCCAGGUGCUCAGCAAGUUCAAGCAUAUGCUGAGAGGCACCAUCGCUGUGCUGAUUCCUUUCCAUGGACCUAAUUACCACUUCACUUCACUCAGAAUCCUCUCAUCUUCAUGCAAAUGAGCUGUGGCAUCUGUUCUCUUUACUCCUAGAGAGGUUUAGUCUUAACAGUCUGUGGGCUAAAACUGAGCUGCAAAAUAUCCAGGCUUAUCAGUAAUGAUAAUCUCUCAUGAGCAUUCACACAUAUUCCAUCAAACAGAAAGUAA